UACUCUGGGUUGGCAUGACAACUGGGAGCAUGGUACUUUAGUAUUCUGAGUUGGCAUGACAACUGGUUUAGACGUUCAUACUGUUGAGAUUUCAUGAGUGCAGCUUCUCUGUGAUAUCCAAAAGGUGUGACAUAAUAUACUCUGCUGGCAUAUAUAAGAUGGCAUUGUUCAUCAGAAAAGGAAAAUAAUCAGAAUGGGGCAUAACAUCCUGGGAAGUACAAGAAAGAACUCUGAACAAGUCACCUGUAAAAAGUCAGCCAAUCUCCCUCCUAGUCUAUCCUGCAACAGUGCCUAAUCCCAUUCCUCCUUCCCCAUCUCCAAGAGGAUGUCACCACUCCCCACCCCAUCAGAUCUCCUAGUAAAAGACAAAGUCUUAAUAUUGUCAUUUUACAAUGGUCUUCUCUAAAAUAUAGGAAACAGGAUGGCAAA